GACGAACGCUGGCGGCGUGCUUAACACAUGCAAGUCGAACGGAAAGGCCCUGCUUGCAGGGUACUCGAGUGGCGAACGGGUGAGUAACACGUGGGUGUUCUGCCCUGCACUUCGGGGUAAGCCUGGGAAACUGGGUCUAAUACCGGGUAGGAGCCAUCCUGAGUGUGAGGGUUGGAAAGUAUUUUGGGUGUAGGAUGAGCUCGCGGCCUAUCAGCUUGUUGGUGGGGUAAGGGCCUACCAACGCGGCGACGGGUAGGCGGCCGGGGGGGGUGGACGGCCACAAUGGGGAUGGGGUAAGGGCCAGGACCCCACCGGGGGCAACAGUGGGGAAUAAUGGACCAAGGGGGCGAGGCCGGUGCCAGGACGGCGCGUGGGGGAUGAACGGCUUCGGGUUGUAAACUCCUUUCGCUAGGGAAGAAGCUUUUUGUGACGGUAACUAGUUAAGAAGCACCGGCUAACUACGUG
rnacentral:rRNA from 1 species